UACAGAGGGUGCGAGCGUUAAUCGGAGUUACUGGGCGUAAAGGGCGCGUAGGCGGUUAUAUAAGUGAGAUGUGAAAUCCCUGGGCUUAACCUAGGAACUUGCAUCUCAUACUGUAUGACUGGAGUAUUGUAGAGGGUAGUGGAAUUUCCGGUGUAGCGGUGAAAUGCGUAGAGAUCGGAAGGAACACCAGUGGCGAAGGCGGCUACCUGGACAAAUACUGACGCUGAGGCGCGAGAGCGUGGGGAGCAAACAGG
rnacentral:rRNA from 1 species